rnacentral:lncRNA from 1 species
UUAUGAUAUCAAGAUGAGAUGCCUUGCAUGCUUGUGGAGAGAGUUCUCCAUAAAUAUACGAUGGUUGCCGCGACCUCCUAACUUACAAUCUCGGAUCGAGGAUGUGACACAUGCCCUGCAUCAAAAAGAAAAACUUGCCAAGUCUAGCUAGGCUUGUUAAGCCUCCUGAGCAUAUACAUGGUAUCUUGCCACAUCCAGGAACCACCUGUGGGACUAAGCAUAAGAAAGUAAACAAGGGAUACACAACAACCAACCCUGUCCAUCUCCCCCCCCCCAAAAAAAAAAAGAAAAAAAAGGAAAAAGGAAGAAAGAAAAACUUGCCAAGUUUGACAAGGCUUGUCAAAGCCUCUUAAGCACCUACAAGGUGCCAUGCACAUGCAGGAGCACCUAAAACACUAAGCACAAGAAAAUAGACCAAGGGACGAACCUAGGUUUAUCCCAUUGGAUAGGUGAAGCACUCAAUUUCCCUCACUGAGGACCUCUGCCAUUGAACCUUCACAAGGGUGAA